rnacentral:tRNA from 1 species
GCCGGGGUGGCUCAACGGUAAAGCGUAUCACUAGUAAUGAUAAGAUCCUGAGUUCGACUCUCAGUCUCGGCA